UUUUAUUUGAGAGUUUGAUCCUGGCUCAGGAUGAACGCUGGCGGCGUGCCUAACACAUGCAAGUUGAGCGAUUUACUUCGGUAAAGAGCGGCGGACGGGUGAGUAACGCGUGGGUAACCUACCCUGUACACACGGAUAACAUACCGAAAGGUAUGCUAAUACGGGAUAAUAUAUUUGAGAGGCAUCUCUUGAAUAUCAAAGGUGAGCCAGUACAGGAUGGACCCGCGUCUGAUUAGCUAGUUGGUAAGGUAACGGCUUACCAAGGCGACGAUCAGUAGCCGACCUGAGAGGGGGAUCGGCCACAUUGGAACUGAGACACGGUCCAAACUCCUACGGGAGGCAGCAGUGGGGAAGAUUGCACAAUGGGCGAAAGCCUGAUGCAGCAACGCCGCGUGAGUGAUGAAGGCCUUCGGGUCGUAAAACUCUGUCCUCAAGGAAGAUAAUGACGGUACUUGAGGAGGAAGCCCCGGCUAACUACGUGCCAGCAGCCGCGGUAAUACGUAGGGGGCUAGCGUUAUCCG
rnacentral:rRNA from 1 species